CAAAAUGAUGUCUGAAAAAAUCUUAUCUACAUUGCCUGAAUAAAGUUGCUGAAAAUUCUUUUUCCUGAUU